AGUGAACGCUGGCGGUAGGCCUAACACAUGCCAGUCGAACGGCAGCACAGUAAGAGCUUGCUCUUACGGGUGGCGAGUGGCGGACGGGUGAGGAAUACAUCGGAAUCUACUUUUUCGUGGGGGAUAACGUAGGGAAACUUACGCUAAUACCGCAUACGACCUACGGGUGAAAGCAGGGGAUCUUCGGACCUUGCGCGAUUGAAUGAGCCGAUGUCGGAUUAGCUAGUUGGCGGGGUAAAGGCCCACCAAGGCGACGAUCCGUAGCUGGUCUGAGAGGAUGAUCAGCCACACUGGAACUGAGACACGGUCCAGACUCCUACGGGAGGCAGCAGUGGGGAAUAUUGGACAAUGGGCGCAAGCCUGAUCCAGCCAUACCGCGUGGGUGAUGAAGGCCUUCGGGUUGUAAAGCCCUUUUGUUGGGAAAGAAAAGCAGCAGGUUAAUACCCCGCUGUUCUGACGGUACCCAAAGAAUAAGCACCGGCUAACUUCGUG
rnacentral:rRNA from 1 species